rfam:Myotis lucifugus cont2.5709, whole genome shotgun sequence.
GGCCAGGUAGCUCAGUUGGUUGGAGCGUCAUCCCAUACACCCAAAGUGGUGGGUUCAAUUCCCACUCAGGGCA